ensembl:lncRNA
UUAGGACAAAAAAGAAAGGGAAGAAGGAGAAAUGGAAGGUAUUGUGGGAGACGAGCUAAAUCACCAUCUUCCAUUUUCAAAAUGCAGGCUGGCGAAAAACACGUUGGAUCAGCUUCUGCUUCCUGUUUGCUUGUUUUCUGUAGGUUGCGGUUUGUGAACUGAAUCUCUACCAGGAGCUUCCCUCUCGGCAGGGAUGAGGGAGAGGGACUGUAAGCAGUUUUCUGUGGGUGAGAUCAUCUCCUACAUAUUGAUUGGACCAGAGAAUGUUUACGAUACAGUCAAUGCCAUUUUAAAGGAAGAUCAAGGGAUCAAGGCCAAGUCCAAAAAUUUUACAACAAGAUGAAUAAUUUCUUCCAUUUAAAAUCCUAUGUUUCCAUAGGUCUAAUUUUCUGAAAUAUAAUUUACACCAUUACAAUAGGAAGAAAAUAAUUUAAAUAUCUGCACAAAAUGGUAUCACCCCAUUGGUCUUUUAGCUUUCAUUGGGAGCAUCAGCUUUUCGUAAUAAAGACGCAUCAGUGUAAGUUUUCUAUCUCUGGAUCAUUUAAUACAAGAAAAAUGCAAAUGCAAAUAAAACCUCCAAAAACCAAAAAGCAAAACUCACGAAGCUCAUCCUAGAAGGACUGUCCCAAGUCUGCUGAUGCUUGUUUGUAUUACUUUACUGAAAGGACAUUUACACACAUUUGUAACAUGCUCUCAUGGAACUGAACAGGAGGAAGACACUUCCCCCAGGAGCGGAUCCAAGGCUGUUCGCUGUUCCCAUUGACGUUGGUGUUCUCCACGCGCAGAAGCAACAGCGAACCCCCGAAAAUCAAACCACUGAAGGAUGGCGAGUACGGAAACCGCAACUCCACCACAUGUAAUGAUCUUAGUGAAAACCAACCAUAUUAGAGUGGCUUGACCUUUGGAAAUUCAGCCUUUCCCUGAUAAAUACAGCUGUGGUUUCAGUGGAGCCGUCUCGUAUGGCUGUGGAAUAGGACACAGUUAGUUAGCUGCUCCCUGACACUCAGGGCCAAACCGUUAUAUUUUUUUAUUCUGCAACUGAAUAUUAAUACCCCACUGCAACAAGAGUUUCAUCCAUAUUCUUUAACACAUAAAGUCUGCCAUCACCUCUAGUUUAUAAAAGUCAAGCCAGUGAAGAUCAGAAGAAAGGAAAUAAAAAGGUUCAUCUGAUUUUUUAUUAAGGUGUAAUUUACAUGCUAUUAAAUUCAAG